rnacentral:tRNA from 1 species
GGCGAAGGUCGGUCGGUGAGCAUUUAUCAAACUCAUAACCUGAAGGUCGCAGGUUCAAAUCCUGCCCCCGCAACCA